rnacentral:rRNA from 1 species
UGGCGAACGGGUGAGUAACGCGUGGGUAACCUGCCUCAUACAGGGGGAUAACAGUUAGAAAUGACUGCUAAUACCGCAUAAGACCACAGCACCGCAUGGUGCAGGGGUAAAAACUCCGGUGGUAUGAGAUGGACCCGCGUCUGAUUAGGUAGUUGGUGGGGUAACGGCCUACCAAGCCGACGAUCAGUAGCCGACCUGAGAGGGUGACCGGCCACAUUGGGACUGAGACACGGUCCAA